GUCUAAUAGAUGACACCUGCGCUGGCGCAGGAGUGCCGAGAGGAGCUACUCCACUUUCAAGGUCAGGAGGGGCGGCUGUGAGGAGAUACCCCUCGUCCAAGUUUCAGUCAGUGGAGUGUGUGAUCCCCUGUGACUGAGGAUCCUCCUGCUGUGUAUGUGAUCUUGGCUGGGCCAGCCCAGUAGGCGAUGCCACCCAGGCUAGCCUGAGAAUCAUCAGGCAAAAUCUGGAUGUCGUCCUUCAAGAUUUCUGCUACUGUGAUUUCUACAUAUUGAACAUAUUGCCAAUUCACCAUAUUUUUUCUUUUUAAAGUAUAUGUUUGUAUAUCAAAUUCCUCUUCCUUGAACUGAUGUACAAUUUAUCCACUCUUGUUUUCCAUUGGACUAACUGGAAAAGUGUUAGUACAUACAGUCAUACGAAGUGGCAGCCACGAGGAGAGGCCGAAACCAGAAACGUCCAAUGGUGCAGGUGGUGCAGUGGUAAAAGAAUCUGUCUGCCAAUACAGGAGAUGUGGUUUCGAUCUUUGGGUCAGGAAGUCCCUGGAGAAGCGAAUGGCAGCCCACUCCAGUGUUCUUGCCUGGGAAAUCCCAUGGAUGGGCAGCAGUCCACGGGGUGGCAAAGAGUCAAGCACCACUGAGCGAAUGAGCACAAACACAAGGAGACAAUGAGGAGUUUGCAGUCCGCAAGCCAGGAGAGUGUCAUCACCAGAGUAUGACCAUACUGGCACCUGAAUCUCAGCCCUUCAGGCUUCAGGACUGUGAGAAAUAGAUCUCUGUCAUUUAUAUGCCAUCCCAUCUCUUGCAUUUUGUUGUAGAAGCCAGGACUAACUUGGACAGAGAUCCACUAUCAAAUGUCUCAGUAUUUCUACAAAUGCUGCAAGAACUUGUACAACCUUUUGAUCUAGUCAGCUCUUUGGCACAUUUUGGCAAGCCAGUUAAUUCUCUUUAUUUUCUUUGUCAUAGAAGCAUUAAGACUCUCAGGGCAUUGCUAUUCAAAACUUAGUUCUAUAAGUAGGUCUGAUCAUUUUUCUUACUGAUGGCAUUAUUUUAACUCUUACUUUUCAUGAGAAACAGAUGGAGAAACUGAACUAUUAUGGUCAUAGAUCCUGGAUUCAAGAGGUUACAGCUUUAACUUCCUUAUCAGACUACAUUAGUUGUCUUUUUUUUUGAUUGUCUACAUCCAUUCACUCAACAAAUUCUUCCCGAGUACAUACUAUAUGUCCGACACUGAGGGUGUAUACAAGGUUUUAUUGGGCUUUGUAACAAUAGGUCCUACCUUAAGAGCAGCAGAGAAGACACAAAAAAAUAAUAAUACAGCUAUAAAGAUACAAAUUUUCAAGAAGUCAGAGUACAUGCAAGCAGUAUCUGUCAUAUUAUAAAUGUGAUUGGCUUCACCUUCAGGGCGAAUGUAUAUGAGAUGACCAUCUUAUUGUAUUACUUUUUGUAAUAAAGAGAUUUUAAAAUUUGAAA